ACGUAGGGGGCAAGCGUUGUUCGGAAUUACUGGGCGAAAAGGGCAUGUAGGCGGUUUAGUAAGCUUGGCGUGAAAGACCACAGCUCAACUGUGGGGUCGCGUUGAGAACAGCUGAACUUGAGUUACGGAGAGGGAACGAGAAUUCCUGGUGUAGGGGUGGAACCUGAAGAUAUCAGGAUGAUGAGCGAUAGCGUAGGCAAGCUUCAGGCCGAUAACUGAUACUGUGCUGCGGAAGUGUGGGGAUCAAACAG
rnacentral:rRNA from 1 species